GCCUACGGGGGGCAGCAGUGAGGAAUAUUGGUCAAUGGCCGGAAGGCUGAACCAGCCAAGCCGCGUGAAGGACGAAGGUGCCAAGCAUUGUAAACUUCUUUUGUCAAGGGACAAAAUCAGGCUCGAGAGCCUGACCGAGGGUACUUGAAGAAAAAGCAUCGGCUAACUCCGUGCCAGCAGCCGCGGUAAUACGUAGGGGGCAAGCGUUAUCCGGAUUUAUUGGGUUUAAAGGGUGCGCAGGCGGAUUUUUAAGUCAGCGGUCAAAUCGUGGGGCUCAACCCCAUCCAGCCGUUGAAACUGGGGAU
rnacentral:rRNA from 1 species